rnacentral:sRNA from 2 species
AUUCUACCCAUGUGGGGAAGGAUGAGAAGCUUCGACUAAGGUUCGAUUCGAGCGAAAGCGAGAGAACGUUGCCAACGGCAACGACCCGAAGGGCGAAGCGCGCAGCGCUGAGUAAUCCUUCCCCCACCACCA